rnacentral:misc_RNA from 1 species
UGGGUACCCGCCGAUGACAUGGAACUGUCCAUGCGAGAAGACAGCGUGGCACUCGUCACGCUCACAUGCCAUGUCAGGCACUUCCAACCAUUCAUCACUAGCCACGUCGUAAACCAGCACGGAUGUUAGUGCGUUUUUCUCCUCAUCGUGUCCUCCGGCCACCAGCACCACCGUGCGGUCACCGGCCACUCCCGCCGCACACCCAAAGAAGGACCGUUCAGGUCCUGGCAUUCGAG